rnacentral:rRNA from 1 species
UACGAGGGGGGCAAGCGUUGUCCGGAAUUAUUGGGCGUAAAGAGCUCGUAGGCGGUUUGUCGCGUCUGCUGUGAAAACCUAAGGCUCAACCUUGGGCUUGCAGUGGGUACGGGCAGACUAGAGUGCGGUAGGGGUGACUGGAAUUCCUGGUGUAGCGGUGGAAUGCGCAGAUAUCAGGAGGAACACCGAUGGCGAAGGCAGGUCACUGGGCCGCAACUGACGCUGAGGAGCGAAAGCAUGGGGAGCGAACAGG